CGCAUGAUCGGGACGGGACUUUCCUCUCGCUACACCGUCAUUUUUGAUCACCACCGAUCACCCCCAUCGAUUGGAAUCGAAUCGAAUCAGAAUCGAAAGCGAUUCGCGAACUGGUGAAAAUCACAGGUGACACUCGGCGCAAUCAGGUAUCCGCUGGUCGAUCCGCGCGUACGCUCGCUGUCGCUUUCACUGGGCUGAAAAGGCAGCCCGUGCUCCCGCGGUUGGCGAAACGGGAACAGGACGAGGUAGGAUGUGGCGAGAUAUCGCCACUUCCUCGGCUGUCCUGCAACAGCGAGCGUACAUGGCCAAGUGGAAUGAUAACGCGCGCCGCAACGUUCGUCGCGCUCCGCGUUUCGAGGACGUUUGCGUUGCACCCGAAAGAUAACGCGGAAGAGAUAGUAAAGAGGGAGAUUGAUAAAAGAGAAACGCCGCCGAUGACUUUCCCGUGAAUCAAUGACGAGAAAGCGAUAGCAAUCGGAUCGCGGAAGGAACGUGUCAUGGAAAAGAGAGAGAGAGAAAUUGUCAGAUAAAGUUGUAAUUAAAUUAAAAGAUUCUGUGAAUUAUUUAGCUCGUUACAAUUAUUAUUAUUAUCGUUAUUACUAUUGUCUAAAUGAGAUUUCGUUUCUCAUUCGAUCAUUAUUUCAACUCUUCCACUUUCUUUUUUAUGUAUUUCUGCAACUGCAAGGGAUUGCUGCAACUUCAGGUUUUUGUCGACGUUAUGAAAAUGCACAUUCGGUGGUUUUGUCAAUUAGCCAUCGCGCCAGCAUAUGUGGGUCAAAGACCGACCGGCCUUGCGUAUGACAAUUACUGGUCUAAGCGUCAAACGUAAUGUAGCGCAAGUUAAUUAUCGCUGUGCGGUCGUACAACGACGUUUAUUGCUGCGGAAACGUCUCGGACCUUCGGCCGACCGCCGAACGCCGAGGUAAAGUGAACUUUUAACAGGAGCAUUGUUACCAGCGUUGUCCGGCACAUUCCGUUUUUUCGGUAACUUCGUGAAGCUUUGCGAAGGCUGCACUAGCAAGCGUGGUUCUUUCAAGGACGAGGAGAAAUCAGUAUUCCGACAAACUUCCAUUUUGCGAGUCAACUCGGAUGUGACGUUGUACCUUGUACACCAACGCAAGUACAUAAAUUUUCUAAAAAUAUAUCCCAUGCAAAAAUGAUUUCCUCUCUUUCUGCUAUCUUGCUAGCUAUCGCUUAGAUUAUCGCAAUGAUCGAAAGGCAAAUUACCUUUCAGCACGAACGUCUUCUUGCAUUUCCCGCGACUUUUCGCAAGAAUCGAGAUAGUCAUCUGCGAGCGACACGUAAUACGUACGUUAAUCGAAGCUUUCUUCUGAAAUUGUGAAUUAGUCAUCACAUUUCUAGUUCCAAGUAAACUUGGCGUCUGACUUGGCAGCAAAGGUUUCAAACGCGGUUUAUCUGUUCGUAUCUAUCUAUCAUAAAUGAUCGUUCGUUCCUUUUAGAGCAUAAAGCAUCAUGCGCGUUAUGCGCGUUGCGUUCAAAUAAAGCAUAUAAAUUUUUAGAGCAUAAAGCGCGAAGUACAUUAUGUCAGUACACACAACCGGAAGUAAAUGUCGAGUCUCUCUUUCCUCUGUCGGUCGGUAGGUAUCGGGUUGUUUGAGAGAGCAUCACACACACAUACACCUAUUAUGCAAAAGUGGAAUAAAUGCAUUCCGGAGGGCAUUGCCUUAGCUGCUCCUCGCUACAGGUUCGCGUAAAACUGGCAUAAAUCUCAAUCACGACUGCACGUGAUCUGUAACAAGUAAGAGCUCAUAUUUUUCUUCCAAGACCAGUGUUCAUCGCUUUACAUGGAUUGUUACAGGGUAUGUUGUGAUUUAUAAUACAACUGAGCUUAUAUUCUAUUUGUUACUAUUAAAUUUAAUUUAAUUUAAAGAAAAUUAUAAGUUUAUGUUUUGUUUUUUCUGUUUUACAAUUAUUAGUGUGUGAAAAAUGUUGCUAAGGAGAGUAUACAAUCUCUGUAUGAAACAUUUGCGUAGUAAUGGAGAAACUUUCUCAAAAAUCAUUAUUAGAAAAUAAUGACGAAUAUUUCGUAAAUUGAUAUGUUUAUUAUUAUUUUUAAUAAAGGCAGUUUUUUAAAAAAAUACCGAAUUAAUUUGCACACCUAAUAUAAUAACCUUAUCGUUUGAAACAGGUGAAACAGUGUUCACUGUUUUAUUUUCAGCAAUGCCCACGGAAGCGUUAACCGUAAACGUUACACAGAGUUACACAGAGCUCAAUCAAAUAAUCGCUGUUCCGUAGAAUCGUAACUCGAGCAUCCGGAAGGUAUUGCAAUAUCGAAUUCUCGAAGAAUGACGAUAGAAUCGUGAAGGACGAAUUGCACCGGUUUAGCGAGUAAUUCUGACGAAACGGAUUUUAACGUUUAAUUACAAGUUUUUUUAUUUCUAUCUUAAAUUGUAGAUGAUCUAUCAUUUAUUCCUAACAUCCCUCUAUUAUUUACAAUUGCUUAUCGCUUACAAUUUAUAAUCUAAAUAAACAUCACUUCUGUACGUGUGCAUGAAGAGGAACAUCGCUCGCGUCGCGGAUUUAAUGGCAAUUCUGCGUCGCGGUUUCGCCGCUUCGUUUUUAUCAUCUCGCUGCAUUGUGUCGCGGCGGAGGAAACAAAAGUUAUUCUGCGCUAGAGGAAGCAGCGACGAAUGAAAUGACGGCACACACGACGUUGGAUAUCGAAUUUAUUCUAUGAGCACGCACGUUACGUUUCGCUUUCAUACGGCCGGUCGGAGUAUGAUUAUGCGAGUCUCGUCGACAAUGACGAAUCCGCUCGUGACGACUCUAUUAAUUCUUCGUUUGACAGACUUCCGUGACCGAUGUACUUGCUCUUAUCGAAAGAAGACGUUUCAACGGAAUCCGGUUGAACAUUGACACGUUCGAUCUUCAGCGAAAGUCUCGAAAGUGUAUCGAGAGGAUAAUCCGGAUGACGCAUCAGGUUCGGGAGACCAUAAGGAUUCGCGAAUUUACCUUGAGGGAAUGGAUACGUCAAAAGCGACAUAUGGCAGAUGGGUUGGUCGUGCGUCAACGUUAAUUGGAUAGGUAAGUCAACUUGACACUCGAGUAGUCUUCUGGACUCUCGGUGACGAGCUCUCGUAACGCGACCAACAUUCAAAUAUUGAAGACAUUAAUGUCCAAGUCGACCAUGCAAUUCGAAAUCAUUCUUGACUUCUUACGAAAUAAAACGAAACUGACAGUGUCACUUGCAUGUUUGUUUUCAGAUAUUACAUUGCGGCAUAUAUAUAAGAUAUAGAAUAUCUCAGAACUGAUGGUACAAAUGGAAAGAAAAAGGAACUUAUUUUUUCUACAUGAAAAAAUAAGUCAAAAAUGUAAAAUGAGAAUUUUUUUACAAGACUUUGUUUUCAGGAAAAACAACUUUGAACAUUCGCCAGGUGUGCGUGCACUUAACCAUGGUCUCAACGGAGCUCAUUAUACGUUUAUUAUGUCUAACAAGACGAUUUCUGUUAUGCCAGUGCUGGCAGCGAGAUUGGUCGACAAUAACUAACAAGACUAAAUUAUAGCUCUUAUUUCUUCCCAGGUACUAUAACUUUGGUAUCACAUCUGCAUUUAUCACAAGAUGAGCUGGCUGACUUAUUAGUAUCUCUCAAAUUAAAAGCUCAAUUUUUCAACACGAUAGAAAAACGAUUUAGUCGAUUAAAGUGAGAAUCCUUUCUUUAAAUAAACGGUAUUAAUAUUAGAUUGUUCGUGAAGAAUACCUUAGCCAUCACGAUGUUCGGAUGAACGAAACUAGAUUUUUAUUGACGAAGACACGUAACUUCUUUACGAAAAUCUACAACCGAACUAUUUGACUGGUCCAAUAUAUAUUGUACUUCAUCCGUAAAAUUAUUGUUAUAUUUUUCUAUAAAAUUUUCCUCUUCUUUUCAAAUGUCGAACAACCUGCAGCAGGUAGUACCCACGAAAGGUCAAAAGAAAAUCUAAAAGACGUUAUCAACAACUUUUCAAAAUAUUUUUUCCUCUAAAUAAAAUAUAAGAAACGUGUC